ACAUUUCGGCUGUCAUUUCCACUAAGAAAGCAAAUAGAUUUUAAAAAUGACAGAUUUUUGGUAUUAGUGGGUAAUAAUGUGAAAUAUUAUUAAAAUCAAAUUUAAUGCCAUUCUUUUGCGCUUUUCGCAUUAACUCAAAUUUCUCAAUAUUGUUACGAAUAUUUUGUGGCAUUCUAUCGGAGGCAUAAAUUUAAUCAGUUAUUAAUAUCAACUCAAUUAGGCGCUUUAAUGCGUAAAGUAAUUAUAAUCAUACCUUCUGUUAUGCGGAUAUAAAUUUGUCAGUAUGCAAAUGCAAUAUAUGUGUGAUGUAAAUUUCGCACUUGAUUAAGCAAUAUAUUAAGAACGUGGAAAUCUUUUGGAAGGCGCAAACAAUUUAUUUUAAGGGUAAAUAUGUGUGAAUAAAU
rnacentral:lncRNA from 1 species